GUCUGGUGGGUAGUUUGACUGGGGCGGUCUCCUCCUAAAGAGUAACGGAGGAGCACGAAGGUUGGCUAAUCCUGGUCGGACAUCAGGAGGUUAGUGCAAUGGCAUAAGCCAGCUUGACUGCGAGCGUGACGGCGCGAGCAGGUGCGAAAGCAGGUCAUAGUGAUCCGGUGGUUCUGAAUGGAAGGGCCAUCGCUCAACGGAUAAAAGGUACUCCGGGGAUAACAGGCUGAUACCGCCCAAGAGUUCAUAUCGACGGCGGUGUUUGGCACCUCGAUGUCGGCUCAUCACAUCCUGGGGCUGAAGUAGGUCCCAAGGGUAUGGCUGUUCGCCAUUUAAAGUGGUACGCGAGCUGGGUUUAGAACGUCGUGAGACAGUUCGGUCCCUAUCUGCCGUGGGCGCUGGAGAACUGAGGGGGGCUGCUCCUAGUACGAGAGGACCGGAGUGGACGCAUCACUGGUGUUCGGGUUGUCAUGCCAAUGGCACUGCCCGGUAGCUAAAUGCGGAAGAGAUAAGUGCUGAAAG
rnacentral:rRNA from 1 species